rnacentral:rRNA from 1 species
CUGGCGCACGAUGACGCUGGCGGCGUGCUUACACAUGCAAGUCGAACGUGAAGCCCGGUACCUAGUAUUGGGUGGAAAGUGGCGGACGGGUGCGUAACACGUUGGUGACCUGCCCCGAGGUGGGGGAUAACCGUGGGAAACCACGGCUAAUACCCCGGAUGCCAAAGUAUUUAGAAAGCUUUGGCUAAAGCUCCGGCGCCUCGGGAGGGGCCUGCGGGCUAUCAGCUUGUUGGUGGGGUAAUGGCCUACCAAGGCAAAGACGGCUAGGGGGCGUGAGAGCGCGACCCCCCACAAUGGAACUGAGACACGGUCCAUACUCCUACGGGAGGCAGCAGUGAGGAAUAUUGCGCAAUGGGGGCAACCCUGACGCAGCAACGCCGCGUGGAUGAUGAAGGCCUUCGGGUUGUAAAAUCCUUUUCCGGGGGAAGAAUCAUGACGGUACCUCGGGAAUAAGUCCCGGCUAACUACGUGCCAGCAGCCGCGGUAAAACGUAGGGGGCGAGCGUUAUCCGGAUUUACUGGGCGUAAAGCGCACGUAGGCGGCGCUGUAAGUUGGGCGUGAAAGCUCCCGGCUCAACUGGGAGAGGUCGUUCAAAACUGCAGUGCUUGAGGUUGGAAGAGGAGAGUGGAAUUCCCGGUGUAGUGGUGGAAUGCGUAGAUAUCGGGAGGAACACCAGUGGCGAAGGCGGCUCUCUGGUCCAACCCUGACGCUGAGGUGCGAAAGCGUGGGGAGCGAACGGGAUUAGAUACCCCGGUAGUCCACGCUGUAAACGAUGUAUACUAGGUGUGGGAGGUUA